AUUGAACGCUGGCGGCAGGCCUAACACAUGCAAGUCGAACGGUAACAGGAAGCAGCUUGCUGCUUUGCUGACGAGUGGCGGACGGGUGAGUAAUGUCUGGGAAACUGCCUGAUGGAGGGGGAUAACUACUGGAAACGGUAGCUAAUACCGCAUAACGUCGCAAGACCAAAGAGGGGGACCUUCGGGCCUCUUGCCAUCGGAUGUGCCCAGAUGGGAUUAGCUAGUAGGUGGGGUAACGGCUCACCUAGGCGACGAUCCCUAGCUGGUCUGAGAGGAUGACCAGCCACACUGGAACCGAGACACGGUCCAGACUCCUACGGGAGGCAGCAGUGGGGAAUAUUGCACAAAGGGCGCAAGCCUGAUGCAGCCAUGCCGCGUGUAUGAAGAAGGCCUUCGGGUUGUAAAGUACUUUCAGCGGGGAGGAAGGGAGUAAAGUUAAUACCUUUGCUCAUUGACGUUACCCGCAGAAGAAGCACCGGCUAACUCCGUG
rnacentral:rRNA from 1 species